GAUGAACGCUGGCGGCAUGCUUAACACAUGCCAGUCGGACGGGAAGUGGUGUUUCCCGUGGCGGACGGUGGAGUAACUCGUAAGAACCUGCCUUUGGGAGGGGAACAACAGCUGGAAACGGCGGCUAAUACCCCGUAAGCUGGGGAGCAAAAGGAGGAAUCCGCCCGAGGAGGGGCUUGCGUCUGCUUAGCUAGAUGGUGAGGCAAUAGCUUACCAAGGCAUUGAGUAGUAGCUAGUACGAGGGGAUGAUCAGACACACUGGGACUGAGACACGGGCCAGACUCCUACGGAAGGCAGCAGGGGGGAAUUUUCGGCAAUGGGCGACCGCCUGACGGAGCAAUGCCGCGUGGAGGUAGAAGGGCCACGGGUCGUGAACUGCUUUUCCCGGAGAUGAAGCAAUGACGGUAUCUGGGGAAUAAGCAUCGGCUAACUCUGUG
rnacentral:rRNA from 1 species